UACGUAGGGUGCAAGCGUUGUCCGGAAUUAUUGGGCGUAAAGAGCUCGUAGGCGGUUUGUCGCGUCUGCUGUGAAAUCCCGAGGCUCAACCUCGGGUCUGCAGUGGGUACGGGCAGACUGGAGUGCGGUAGGGGGAGAAUGGAAUUCCUGGUGUAGCGGUGGAAUGCGCAGAUAUCAGGAGGAACACCAAUGGCGAAGGCAGAUCUCUGGGCCUUACCUGACGCUGAGGAGCGAAAGCGUGGGGAGCGAACAGG
rnacentral:rRNA from 1 species